GAUGAAGAACGUAGCGAAAUGCGAUAAGUAAUGUGAAUUGCAGAAUUCAGUGAAUCAUCGAAUCUUUGAACGCACAUUGCGCCCGCCAGUAUUCUGGCGGGCAUGCCUGUUCGAGCGUCAUUACAACCCUCAGGCCCCCGGGCCUGGCGUUGGGGAUCGGCGGAAGCCCCCUGCGGGCACAACGCCGUCCCCCAAAUACAGUGGCGGUCCCGCCGCAGCUUCCAUUGCGUAGUAGCUAACACCUCGCAACUGGAGAGCGGCGCGGCCACGUCGUAAAACACCCAACUUCUGAAUGUUGACCUCGAAUCAGGUAGGAAUACCCGCUGAACUUAAGCAUAUCAAUAAGCGGAGGA
rnacentral:misc_RNA from 1 species